rnacentral:rRNA from 1 species
GUCCAGACUCCUACGGGAGGCAGCAGUGGGGAAUAUUGCACAAUGGGCGCAAGCCUGAUGCAGCCAUGCCGCGUGUGUGAAGAAGGCCUUCGGGUUGUAAAGCACUUUCAGUUGUGAGGAAGGUGGUGUUGUGAAUAGCGGCAUCAUUUGACGUUAGCAACAGAAGAAGCACCGGCUAACUCCGUGCCAGCAGCCGCGGUAAUACGGAGGGUGCGAGCGUUAAUCGGAAUUACUGGGCGUAAAGCGCAUGCAGGUGGUUUGUUAAGUCAGAUGUGAAAGCCCCGGGCUCAACCUGGGAAUUGCAUUUGAAACUGGCAAACUAGAGUACUGUAGAGGGGGGUAGAAUUUCAGGUGUAGCGGUGAAAUGCGUAGAGAUCUGAAGGAAUACCGGUGGCGAAGGCGGCCCCCUGGACAGAUACUGACACUCAGAUGCGAAAGCGUGGGGAGCAAACAGGAUUAGAUACCCUGGUAGUCCACGCUGUAAACGAUGUCUACUUGGAGGUUGUGGCCUUGAGCCGUGGCUUUCGGAGCUAACGCGUUAAGUAGACCGCCUGGGGAGUACGGUCGCAAGAUUAAAACUCAAAUGAAUUGACGGGGGCCCGCACAAGCGGUGGAGCAUGUGGUUUAAUUCGAUGCAACGCGAAGAACCUUACCUACU